ACUGCUUUCUCCUCUGCCUCCGGAGUCUUUUUCGGUCUUUGGCGUGGAGGAUGAGUGGGGAAGAGAACGCAGUCCCUGGCUGCUGAACUAGAAAUUCUGAUUCCUUCCGAGAGAAAAGUCAUUUUUGAGGGCUGUGGCGUCCACAUCCUUAAAUGGUGUCUCUAGCUUCAUGAAAGGGUCCUAAAUUUGUUAAGAAAGAAUCGGUUGGCAACUUGCACUUUUUUUCAUCAACUUUUCACUUUGCAGCCCUGAGAGCUUUUAAUUACAGUAUUGUCAGAGGGGCCCAUUCUUCUAUUUCCUAAAUCAUUUCAUUGAUUUUUUUUCCCUCAUUCUGCCUUCCUUUUCAGCAAGACUUCUCCCACCCCCCCACCCCCCGCCCCAACACCCACUGGGAUUCACUCAGAGCUUGAGAGUUUUAUCGUCCAGUUUUGGCAUCAUCACGGAGCAUUAAUCAGCCAGUGGAAAACAGAGAGAAGCAGGAUUUAUCUGUCAGACAAAAUGAGAGGUGAGGCUGCUCUUUGUACUUACUCCC
rnacentral:lncRNA from 1 species